rnacentral:rRNA from 1 species
UACAGAGGGUGCGAGCGUUAAUCGGAAUUACUGGGCGUAAAGCGCGCGCAGGCGGCGGUGCUGGCCCGGCGUGAAAGCCCCCGGCUCAACCGGGGAGGGUCGUCGGGGACCACACCGCUUGAGGGCGGUAGGGGCUGGUGGAAUGCCUGGUGUAGUGGUGAAAUGCGUAGAGAUCAGGCGGAACACCCGUGGCGAAGGCGGCCAGCUGGGCCGUCCCUGACGCUGAGGCGCGAAGGCGUGGGGAGCGAACGGG